AUGUCGCGAUAAGGGCGCUUUCAUAAUAACUCCUUGAAUUGCUCUCAUGCCUCAUAUAAAUAUUAUUCAUCAAGUUGCUGAAAUGAAGUGAUUUCAUUUCGAAUCU
rnacentral:snoRNA from 1 species